rnacentral:lncRNA from 10 species
AUACUGCCGGAACUGUGGCUAAUGGUGCGGACCACCCUGCUCACUGUUAGCAAAGUGGGUAGCUACCCUCUCUUCUGGAAGCCCCUCUGCAGCACUCCUCUUGGGAGUAGAAAAGGAAGUGGUCAAGACCUACAUUUGGGAGCUGAUCCGUCUUGCUCUCAGUUAGGGCCCAGCCCUUCUGUGGGGACCAGGAAAAUCUUUGCUCACCUGGAGAAGCUGCUGGUUCAGCCCAACUUUAUCUAACGCCAAAGCCUCAUUUAAGGCACUGAGCUUGACAGCUGCAGCCCGAAGAUCAGCUACUUCUGUCUUCAGGGUGUUUUCAGAACUCGACAGCUCUGCAAUUGACUGCUCUGCCUAAAAAACAAAAAGGAUUAAAGAGUUUCAUAUUUCCAAUUUUCCUGGAACAGUAAACAGUUCACAUUCCCAACACUGCUGCUUUUUGGUACAGAGAUCAGUUAAUACUCCAUUCCCUCUCCUGCAUUCUAAACAAGUUUUCCCUUCAUUCAUUCAUUAAGGAGUGAGACAGGACCUCACAGUAUAGAGAUACCAAAGUUAGGAUAGAGAAAUGACUAUGAUUGUAAUGAUGCCACAGAAAAUGUA